GCAGAUGGCAUGAAUAACGCUGGUAUGGCUUUUGUAACCUGCUUUUCGUUUCUUUCUUAUUCCUUUAUUGUCUACGGUAAACGCAGGUUUCGUUAACAUCCUUAAUUCGUUCAUGUCACAAUAAAUAUAUACUUGCUUGUGAAGAAAGUUAACUCGGGAGGUUAUUUUGCAACUUUUUGCCAACAUUAUGCAUUUACCAAUACAUUUGUUCUUACUAGGUUUAUCAGUUGGCGCCUUGUAUCUGCCUCAAUAUGCAGUUUAUGAAGAAACUACAGAAGACGAAUGUUCCGUUAUUUUGGGACAUAUUAACUUUUGAAUCAACCGAGGAACUUCGCACUGCCCUCAACGUAAUAAAUUUCCAAAAGUCGUUUCCAAGACACUACUUGGCAAAUUUUAUCCACUCCAUUACAUCGUAACAGAUUCUAGUGGAGAUGGUCUCGUCUUGGAGUACACUAAAGAUGGAAGGAACGCACAUGACAAUACUAUUGGUGUUGCAACAAACUCACCACUCAUUGGUGUUGCAACAAACUCACCACCAUAUGAUUUUCACAUUUAAAAAAUUACGUCCGCUUAUCAAAAUUAGCUUCAAAGAAUUUAACACUUGGUGGCAUUGAGUUUUGAGGAAGUAGAUUGCUGAUCUUCUGCAUUUUUUAAGCAAAUCAAACACUAUGGUGGAAUUGCUUAAACUGAACUAUCAUUUGUUGAACACCGUUGAUAUUUCAAAAGGUGCUGUGAAAUUGGGGCUUUGAGUCACAAGAUAUGAAAUAUGUGACGUCAAGAAGGAGGAGGAAAAAAGUCACGAAAUGUACAAAAGGCACAAAAGUCACGAAGGAAGUUGUACUAACCAUUUUCUUAAGGAAAGGUGUUGGUAUAUUUUUGAGAAUGACGCUUUUCUUUCAUUAUUUUUAACAUUAUUAUAAUUUUCGGGUGUCAGGAAUUGCGCAAUUGGACUUAAUCUGUAUUUUCUUUCUUCAUCUCCUCCUGCUUCGCUCAAUAAGACUAGAUAUAGAAUACUUUGCUGUAACGUUCAU